rnacentral:rRNA from 1 species
GAUGAACGCUGGCGGCGUGCCUAAUACAUGCAAGUCGAGCGAACGGACGAGAAGCUUGCUUCUCUGAUGUUAGCGGCGGACGGGUGAGUAACACGUGGAUAACCUACCUAUAAGACUGGGAUAACUUCGGGAAACCGGAGCUAAUACCGGAUGAUAUUUUGAACCGCAUGGUUCAAAAGUGAAAGACGGUCUUGCUGUCACUUAUAGAUGGAUCCGCGCUGCAUUAGCUAGUUGUUAAGGUAACGGCUUACCAAGGCAACGAUGCAUAGCCGACCUGAGAGGGAGAUCGGCCACACUGGAACUGAGACACGGUCCAGACUACUACGGGAGGCAGCAGUAGGGAAUCUUCCGCAAUGGGCGAAAGCCUGACGGAGCAACGCCGCGUGAGUGAUGAAGGUCUUCGGAUCGUAAAACUCUGUUAUUAGGGAAGAACAUAUGUGUAAGUAACUGUGCACAUCUUGACGGUGCCUAAUCAGAAAGCCACGGCUAACUACGUG